rnacentral:lncRNA from 1 species
CAAGUUAUUGCCCAGUUACAGAGAUGGGCUUUCUUCAGAAAGUUAAAACGAAGCCUUUAACUGGACUUAUGAAUCAGACGAAUUAAAUGGCUAUGUUUUGUUUUAUUUCACCUGUCCUCCUGUAUUCAAGGGAGCAGCUAUGAAACUUGUAGCUCUACAAGCUGCUGAGCCCAGGUAAGUGAGGCAGUGAGCAAAGCAAGCCCUGCGCAGGACGAGCAUCCUCCCACUGCCUGCACCAGCACAGCCAGCCCCAGGAGCAGCACCUUCCGCAGUGCCUGUGCCAAGAGAUGUAGAGCUGAAGCACUGUGUCCAGCACCCCGAGGCCUGGUGCACAACUACUGUGGGACAAUGUAUGAGCCAGCUAGCAAGUUUUUUGAGGCAAAGCAAAUGCUGGAAUAAAAGUCAUCUAAUGAUGCAAAAGUCUGAGGAAAUCAUAAAUGCAGGAACAGGGGUGGUUAGAACUGAAUGCUCUUCACCGCUCUUACCAUCUCAGUCUACAAACAUGACUGUGUGUCCAGAUGCAGCACAUGAGCCUGCCACAUGACAACUGUUCUACAGCUCACGAGUGGGUGUGAAGGAGAAAAGAAGGAA